rnacentral:rRNA from 1 species
AGUGAACGCUGGCGGUAGGCCUAACACAUGCAAGUCGAACGGCAGCACAGUAAGAGCUUGCCCUUACGGGUGGCGAGUGGCGGACGGGUGAGGAAUACAUCGGAAUCUACUUUUUCGUGGGGGAUAACGUAGGGAAACUUACGCUAAUACCGCAUACGACCUACGGGUGAAAGCAGGGGAUCUUCGGACCUUUCGCGAUUGAAUGAGCCGAUGUCGGAUUAGCUAGUUGGCGGGGUAAAGGCCCACCAAGGCGACGAUCCGUAGCUGGUCUGAGAGGAUGAACAGCCACACUGGAACUGAGACACGGUCCAGACUCCUACGGGAGGCAGCAGUGGGGAAUAUUGGACAAUGGGCGCAAGCCUGAUCCAGCCAUGCCGCGUGGGUGAAGAAGGCCUUCGGGUUGUAAAGCCCUUUUGUUGGGAAAGAAAAGCAGCAGGUUAAUACCCCGCUGUUCUGACGGUACCCAAAGAAUAAGCACCGGCUAACUUCGUG